rfam:Camelus ferus unplaced genomic scaffold scaffold1499, whole genome shotgun sequence.
GAGGGUAUAGCUCAGUGGUAGAGCACGUGCUUAGCAUGCACGAGGUCCUGGGUUCGAUCCCCAGUGCCUUCA